UACGUAGGGGGCAAGCGUUGUCCGGAAUCAUUGGGCGUAAAGAGCGCGUAGGCGGUCCGGUAAGUCCGCUGUGAAAGUCAAGGGCUCAACCCUUGGAUGCCGGUGGAUACUGCAGGGCUAGAGUCCGGAAGAGGCGAGUGGAAUUCCUGGUGUAGCGGUGAAAUGCGCAGAUAUCAGGAGGAACACCGAUGGCGAAGGCAGCUCGCUGGGACGGUACUGACGCUGAGACGCGAAAGCGUGGGGAGCAAACAGG
rnacentral:rRNA from 1 species